AUUUGUCAUUCAUCAUAGAUGAAAUUACUGCAAUUGAAUAUCAUGAGCAUGUUUGAUACACUUUAAAUCUCGAGUUUAGUAUUUAAAAUGAGUGUAAAAGAAAAAUCUAACCCAAAAUUGUUUUUUAAUUCAAAUACUUUGGUUACACUAUUCAGUUUUUUUUUUAUUAAUUUGAGUCCAGCAGGUCUUUUAAUAAAGGGGAAAAGAGGAAAAAAUGCUAAAACAAUAAAUCGAGAAAAAAAAAACAUUCCAUACAUAACUGUGAAAAAUGUGAUUGCAAAAGUGCACACACCCUCUGUUUUCAGAAUGAAUCAAAGUCAGCACACCUGCCAGUGUUUAAAGAUGGCUGACCUGUAUAAAGUUCUGAUGUUCAAGUGGGCUUUUUUCAUUCAGGCAGAAGCCCAAAGGUUGACUGACUGACUGACUACUGUUUGGAUCGGUUCGUAAUUCCUUCCACCGGAGGCCCCGUAGCUCAGUGGUUAGAGCACUGGUUUGGUAAACCAGGGGUUGUGGGUUCGUACCCCACUGGGGCCUCCACUCCCUGAGAAGGGAUGCGUCAGGAAGGGCAUCCUGGGUGUUUAAAAAAAAAAAAAAAAAAAAAGUUGUCCCAAACGUAUAUGUGCGUUCAUCUGAUCAGAUGCCGCCAACCGCCGCAUUAGGUAAGGUAUUAGCAACAUAUACGACAGAUCCCAGAACGGAUUGUGUUCAUUCCAAGAACCAAACGGCAAAAAUUCUGUUUGCCGUGCGGCGUCUCUCGUCGGCCCCACACGAGAACUUUGACGCGUGCUCGGUGAUUUUUCUCCAAGUCGUGUCUCAGCAAUAAAAAGCCGAGUCGUAAUCCGAGCUCGCGGCGCUCUUCAGAUCGCGGUGACAGCAGCUUUCACCGUCAGCUUAACACAAUGGAGUCGACUUGUCGGGCUUUUUGUUCGGUUCCCACGCGAGCGAAGCGGCGGGGGAGCGCCCCAAAGCUGACAUGACCGAACGUGUCGUCCGAGGGGAAUUUCCUCACGCGCCGCGACCUCCGAAGUGGAACAAAAUCCGUUUCCGGCACAACGCCGGUUGACUUCCCGAAUCCAGACUCCCGUAUAUUAAAUAAGGUCAACGCGGACCGGUCGACAAGCAACCACGAGGCACACAUGCGCACAGGUAAGUGUUCCCAAACUGACCUCAAGUUCCGGCAACACCGUCGGUCAACCACAUUUUGAAGUCUUGACUUACUUCAUGAAUCCGUCCAACAGCGCAACGUUGAAAUCUGCCCUCGAUUGCAUUUGAAUAAAAAUAGAAAAUCUAAGAUAAAAAAAAAAAAUAUUGCAGAAGCCAGAAUUGGUUCAUUCUUUAGGUCAUGGCAAAUCAAAAUUAUCUCGAUAUAUAGUGAUAAUUCUAGAAAUGUUCAGAUUAUGAUAUUAAAUUAAAUCGGGCAAUCUAUUGAGAACGGGAACGAUUACGUUUCCCCAACAUCACCGCCAGAGGGCAGUCAUUUCCUGAGGUUCAUCUUUCCAUUUUUGCUGCAUACCGUCUCGAGCGCGUGCAUCGACGUCAUAAAAUUGCGUCACUGGCCGGAAGUGGCGGUCAAACAAAUCGUUCUUGGUUGGAGACGACACAAAAAUGUCUUAUCGCACGAGUUUUGUCCGAUACCGUGAAACACUUAGGUGAAAAUAAACAAAGAUACGUGAAAAAAUGAGAGGCACUUGGCGUAGCCAUAGAGGACCCAUUUUUUUAAUGCCCAAGUUGAUGUUUUCGCCGAUAAGAAAUUGGACUGUCAACCCGCUUCCGCCUGUCUCGGACAACUGGAUCGACACGUGGAUCCGGAUGAAUUCAUCUCGAACAAAGAUGACUUAGAUCAACUUUUGAAAAACACAGAGACCGAAACCCCCUCAAAUGAUGACCGACGGCUGCCAGAAUGACAUGUAUUAUCAACAAAAAUUAAUCAGAUCAAGUGAUAUUUAUGCUGAAUGACAUUGAUUCAAAGAGCCCCCCUGGGAACGAGUCUCGCUCACCCAUGCAGGGGGAGGAAAUGAGCUACCUGCGUUUUAAUAGAAUAUGUUGCCGCGGUAAGUGCUGGUGGACAUGAUAGACUUCACUUUCACACUGAAUCAAACGCCGAGGAGACGGCGCUAAGCGAUGAUGAACAACGCAGUUCAACUUUCAAAGGGAGUGUAAAAGGAAGUUUAGGAGCUCGGAUGGGGGGCUCCGUUUCUUUGGGGAUUGUAAAAACGAAACAAAAAACAAAAAAAAAAAACCACACCGUUUUUCAUGAUGCCCAGUCUGAAUAAUAGGGCCGAAUGUUCGCUGAAUAUUUAGAAUCCGGUUUUUGUCAUUGCAUGCCAAAAUCGAGGACAAUGUUUUCGAACUUACUGCGACGGGAAGUCAUUUUCUGUUAUGAUAACAGCCCGUAAAAUAUAGCCUUUUGUUAGUCACGUUAAAGGCAGUUUUAUUACAGCUAAGAUUAGCCUUUGGAACCACGUCUUGCUAUCUAGAAAAGACGAUCCACUGACAUUGUGUACAUUUCUUUCUAGGUUUGGACAUUUGUCAUUGAUCCUGACAGAUGUGGGGUUGUUUUUUAAUCUAAUAAUCGGUUUAAUACCCACUGAUAAUCUGAAAUGAGAUCUCAUUUUACUGUCUAACUGGAAAACCCAGAACCACAAGGUGAGAGCGCUGGCCAAAGUUGGCUGUCGCUCGUGUUUUUAGUUUGCUAAUGGUUUACUUUGGUCGGCGUCAGGGCCGCCGGUGCUACCAGGGCAUAAAAUACAGUCAACAACUCAGUGUGACAAAGUAUAUUGUGAUGUUUUUGAGCAGUAAAUAAUUGAUACACCAUCAGCUAUCAAAAAAGAUUCACACCAAACAGAUUUUUGUUCCUAAAUGCUUCUGUUUUUAUGUUUGGCAUGAAUUAAUUUUCCCUUUAUGCCUGUAUACUCAUGCAAACGGUUCUGUUUUCUGUGAGUUUCCCCGCUUCUUUUUAACUCACAUAUGUAAAUAUUGCGUCGCAUCAUGGCUGUUUUUUUUCCAAUGUAUAGCUUACUGCAAGAUGGAGGGCUGUGCCAAUGAUAUUUUUAUUGUUGGCCAAAUCUUGUAUUGUGAUCCACUGCCAUUCCCGCUCCCUAUCAAAGUCACAAAACUAGAAAAGUCUAUGAAAAUGUCUAAAAUUGGAGUUGCUCUUAUCAGCUCAAGCAGACCACGAAGCGAGG